GUCCAUAAUGACUCUCGGCAACGGAUAUCUCGGCUCUUGCAUCGAUGAAGAACGUAGCGAAAUGCGAUACUUGGUGUGAAUUGCAGAAUCCCGUGAACCAUCGAGUCUUUGAACGCAAGUUGCGCCCAAAGCCAUUAGGCUAAGGGCACGCCUGCCUGGGUGUCACCAAU
rnacentral:rRNA from 1 species